UGAGGAACAUGACCUUCGGCGGGGGAUAGCCGGCCCAACGGCCGGGUAAUACCGCGUACGACCACUCGGGGACAUCCCCAGGUGGUGAAAGCAGCAAUGCGCCGAUGGAGUGCCUCGCGGCCUAUCAGCUAGUUGGUGAGGUAACGCUCACCAAGGCGACGACGGGUANCUGGUCUGAGAGGAUGGCCAGCCACAUUGGGACUGAGACACGGCCAGACUCC
rnacentral:rRNA from 1 species